UACAGAGGUCUCAAGCGUUGUUCGGAUUCAUUGGGCGUAAAGCGCGCGUAGGUGGCCAUUUAAGUCCGCUGUGAAAGUCAGAGGCUCAACCUUUGAAAGCCGGUGGAUACUGGAUGGCUAGAGUACGGAAGAGGCGAGUGGAAUUCCUGGUGUAGCGGUGGAAUGCGCAGAUAUCAGGAGGAACACCAAUAGCGAAGGCAGCUCGCUGGGACGUUACUGACACUAAGGCGCGAAAGCGUGGGGAGCGAACAGG
rnacentral:rRNA from 1 species